rnacentral:rRNA from 1 species
GUUGUAUAGUCAAGUAAUUAAGUGCAUGUGGUGGAUGCCUUGGCAGUCAGAGGCGAUGAAAGACGUGAUAGCCUGCGAAAAGCUCCGGGGAGGCGGCAAAUAUCCUUUGAUCCGGAGAUGUCUGAAUGGGGGAACCCACCUACUUUAAGGUAGGUAUUGCAACAUGAAUACAUAGUGUUGCAAGGCGAACGAGGGGAAGUGAAACAUCUCAGUACCCUUAGGAAAAGAAAUCAAUUGAGAUUCCCUCAGUAGCGGCGAGCGAACGGGGAUCAGCCCAUUAAGUUAUGUGUGUUUUAGUGGAACGCUCUGGGAAGUGCGAACGUAGAGGGUGAUAUUCCCGUACACGAAAGGGCACACAUAAUGAUGACGAGUAGGGCGAGGCACGUGAAACCUUGUCUGAAUAUGGGGGGACCAUCCUCCAAGGCUAAAUACUCCUGACUGACCGAUAGUGAACCAGUACCGUGAGGGAAAGGCGAAAAGAACCCCUGUGAGGGGAGUGAAAUAGAUCCUGAAACCGCAUGCAUACAAGCAGUGGGAGCACCUUCGUGGUGUGACUGCGUACCUUUUGUAUAAUGGGUCAGCGACUUAUAUUCAGUAGCGAGGUUAACCGUAUAGGGGAGCCGUAGAGAAAUCGAGUCUUAAUAGGGCGUUUAGUUGCUGGGUAUAGACCCGAAACCAGGCGAUCUAUCCAUGAGCAGGUUGAAGGUUGGGUAACACUAACUGGAGGACCGAACCCACUGUCGUUGAAAAGCCAGGGGAUGACUUGUGGAUAGGGGUGAAAGGCUAAUCAAGCCUGGUGAUAGCUGGUUCUCCCCGAAAGCUAUUUAGGUAGCGCCUCGGACGAAUACCAUAGGGGGUAGAGCACUGUUUCGGCUAGGGGGUCAUCCCGACUUACCAAACCGAUGCAAACUCCGAAUACCUAUGAGUACUAUCCGGGAGACAGACUGCGGGUGCUAACGUCCGUAGUCAAGAGGAAAACAAUCCAGACCGCCAGCUAAGGCCCCAAAAUCAUAGUUAAGUGGGAAACGAUGUGGGAAGGCAUAGACAGCUAGGAGGUUGGCUUAGAAGCAGCCACCCUUUAAAGAAAGCGUAAUAGCUCACUAGUCGAGUCGGCCUGCGCGGAAGAUGUAACGGGGCUAAAACUAUGUGCCGAAGCUGCGGAUGUAUACUUUGUAUACGUGGUAGGGGAGCGUUCUGUAAGCCGAUGAAGGUGUGUUGAGAAGCAUGCUGGAGGUAUCAGAAGUGCGAAUGCUGACGUGAGUAACGACAAAACGGGUGAAAAACCCGUUCGCCGAAAGACCAAGGGUUCCAGUCCAACGUUAAUCGGGGCUGGGUGAGUCGACCCCUAAGGCGAGGCCGAAAGGCGUAGUCGAUGGGAAAAUGGUUAAUAUUCCAUUACUUCUGUGUAAUGCGAUGAGAGGACGGAGAAGGCUAAAUCAGCCUGGCGUUGGUUGUCCAGGUGAAAGGAUGUAGGCAUGUAUCUUAGGCAAAUCCGGGGUACUCUAUGCUGAGAUCUGAUAGCAAGCUGUACUUGUACAGCGAAGUGGUUGAUGCCAUGCUUCCAGGAAAAGUCUCUAAGCUUCAGUUACACAGGAAUCGUACCCGAAACCGACACAGGUGGUCAGGUCGAGUAGACCAAGGCGCUUGAGAGAACUCUGCUGAAGGAACUAGGCAAAAUGGUACCGUAACUUCGGGAGAAGGUACGCUGUUGUUGGUGAUGGAACU